GUUGGAGCAUCAUCAAGAUUCACAAAUCAUCAAGUAUAUGUACAUUCGUAUGUACUAUGAUAAGAUUUUUGAUGUAUGUAUGAGAAUCUUGAUGAUGCUGCAGC
rnacentral:pre_miRNA from 1 species